rnacentral:rRNA from 1 species
CGUGUAGGCGGUUUGAUAAGUCGAGUGUGAAAGCCCGAGGCUCAACUUCGGAAGUGCACUCGAAACUGUCAGGCUUGAGUACGGGAGAGGGAAGUGGAAUUCCUGGUGUAGAGGUGAAAUUCGUAGAUAUCAGGAGGAACACCGGUGGCGAAGGCGGCUUCCUGGACCGAUACUGACGCUGAGACGCGAAAGCGUGGGAGCAAACA